rnacentral:rRNA from 1 species
GAUGAACGCUGACAGAAUGCUUAACACAUGCAAGUCGAUGGGGAAGUGGUGCUUGCACCAUGGCAACCAUGGCGGACGGGUGAGUAACGCGUAAGGGACUUACCUGCAGGACUGGGAUAACAGGGGGAAACUCCUGACAAGACCGGAUAAUGUCAUGGAGCUGCAUGGCUUUAUGAUGAAAGGAGACGCCUGCGGAGAGCCUUGCGUCCUAUUAGCUAGUUGGUGAGGUAAUGGCUCACCAAGGCGAAGAUAGGUAGCCGGCCUGAGAGGAUGGACGGCCACAAGGGGACUGAGAUACGGCCCUUACGCCUACGGGAGGCAGCAGUGGGGAAUAUUGGACAAUUGGGGCAACCCUGAUCCAGCAAUUCUGUGUGCACGAAGAAGGUUUUCGGAUUGUAAAGUGCUUUCAGAAGAGAAGAAGUAAGUGACGGUACCUGCAGAAGAAGCGACGGCUAAAUACGUG